GAUGAACGCUGGCGGCGUGCCUAAUACAUGCAAGUCGAGCGAACAGACGAGGAGCUUGCUUCUCUGACGUUAGCGGCGGACGGGUGAGUAACACGUGGAUAACCUACCUAUAAGACUGGGAUAACUUCGGGAAACCGGAGCUAAUACCGGAUAAUAUAUUGAACCGCAUGGUUCAAUAGUGAAAGACGGUCUUGCUGUCACUUAUAGAUGGAUCCGCGCUGCAUUAGCUAGUUGGUAAGGUAACGGCUUACCAAGGCAACGAUGCGUAGCCGACCUGAGAGGGUGAUCGGCCACACUGGAACUGAGACACGGUCCAGACUCCUACGGGAGGCAGCAGUAGGGAAUCUUCCGCAAUGGGCGAAAGCCUGACGGAGCAACGCCGCGUGAGUGAUGAAGGUCUUCGGAUCGUAAAACUCUGUUAUUAGGGAAGAACAAAUGUGUAAGUAACUGUGCACGUCUUGACGGUACCUAAUCAGAAAGCCACGGCUAACUACGUG
rnacentral:rRNA from 1 species